ensembl:snoRNA
GUGAAGUGAUGAAGACGUUUAUCCAUUCGCUGAGUGGCCAUCUUGUCUCAGCCACCACCUCUGUCCCCGUUCUGGGGGCGGAGCCUCUCUGUUGCGGUGCCGGCGUUGGUCGGCGUUCUGUCGGACAACGCCGAACCUGCUCAGAGAGAAGGCUGCGACUGGAGCGCCGCCAAGACGAUUGACUGUUCUGAUCCC